rnacentral:rRNA from 1 species
GCAAAAGCUCAAAUUUGAAAUCUAGCACUUUCAGUGUUCGAGUUGUAAUUUGAAGAAGGUAACUUUGGUUUUGGCUCUUGUCUAUGUUCCUUGGAACAGGACGUCACAGAGGGUGAGAAUCCCGUGCGAUGAGAUGCCCAAUUCCAUGUAAAGUGCUUUCGAAGAGUCGAGUUGUUUGGGAAUGCAGCUCUAAGUGGGUGGUAAAUUCCAUCUAAAGCUAAAUAUUGGCGAGAGACCGAUAGCGAACAAGUACAGUGAUGGAAAGAUGAAAAGAACUUUGAAAAGAGAGUGAAAAAGUACGUGAAAUUGUUGAAAGGGAAGGGCUUGAGAUCAGACUUGGUAUUUUGCGUUCCCUUCCUUUUUGGUUGGGUUCCUCGCAGUUUACUGGGCCAGCAUCGGUUUGGAUGGUAGGAUAAUGACAUUGGAAUGUAGCUUUACUUCGGUGAAGUGUUAUAGACUUUGUUGAUACUGCCUAUCUAGACCGAGGACUGCGUCUUUGACUAGGAUGCUGGCGUAAUGAUCUUAAGCCGCCCGUCUUGAAAC